ACAUAAUCUGACCCAUUACACGUUUAUUAAUGCCUGUGUGGUGUUAUUUUUGUAAAAAAGUAUUAUUUCACAUUGUUAUUAAUAAAAUAAAAAGGUUCUAUCUCAAAAAACAUAAACCGAGUUGGGAUUAUAAGGUUCUAUCUCCAGUAGAUUCAAUAUCCAAUGAAAACCCUGGCUGAACACGGACGGACCAAUCAAAACCCACAUCCUGGCUCUCUUGCUGGGACACAGAGCUAAGGCGCCAAGGCUAAGCUGAGGACAUUUGAAGCCGGCAAUGUCCCCCACAAGAUAUAAACGCACAUUCACCAGUACUAGAAUAGAUCGAAAUGAUGAAAAUGAUUCUCCAAAAGCAAAGAGGACAGCAGAUAGUGGAGAGGCAGAGACCCCCAGAGCAGAAGCAAAAAGGACAGUAGGCGAGACACCCAGGGCCAGACCAGACGAGACCCCCAGGGCCAGACCAGGCGAGACACCCAGGGCCAGACCAGCUGAGACAUUCAGGGCCAUUGCAGCAGACACACCCAGGGCCAGACCAGCUGAGGCACUCAGGGCCAGACCAGCUGAGACACCCAGGGCCAGUCCAGCCGAGACACCCAGGGCCAGACCAUCUGAGACACCCAGGGCCAUUGCAGAAGACACACCAUUUGCUUCAGUGGCCCAAAUUACAUUCACUCAAAAUCUGUUCAGUGUACAGUACAGUACCUCUCAUGCUCAGCUUCCCAUACAGGUAGAUAUUAGGGGCUCUAACACCAAAACCAGGUCUAACAUGCCAACAGCGCUCUUGCUGCCCAAGCCAAAGUAUCUAACCAACAAAAACACCAUUGCAGAGGCAAAGAAGACUGACCUUUUAUCUAUGUUCAAGUACAUGCCUGCUGUUGACAAAGCCUACUACAGCGCAGUAUUUAGAAAGUGAAAUCUGAAGUACAACAUACAUACAAAAACAGACAUACAGAAUAAUAAAUAGUAAAACUGUCUCAUAGUUUAACCCUAGCGUAUAAAAUAAAUGAACAAUGUGUUUUUAAAAAGUGUUUCGUGAUGUUUAGUAACAGUGUGUGUGUGUGUGUGUGUGUGUGUGUGUGUGUGUGUGUGUGUGUGUGUGUGUGUGUGUGUGUUGGUAUGGAUAGAGAGUGAUAUCUGAAGUUCAUCUAUACAUGAAGUAAAUCAUACAUAACAAAACAAACAUACAGAAUAAUAAAAAAUAAAAGUGUCUCAUAGUUUAACACUAUCUUAAAUAAACAAUGUGUUUUUAAAAAGUGUUUAAUGAUGUUUAGUAACUGUGAGGGGGGGUAUACGGCUGGAGAGAAGGGGA